rnacentral:rRNA from 1 species
UACGUAGGGUGCGAGCGUUGUCCGGAAUUAUUGGGCGUAAAGAGCUCGUAGGCGGUUUGUCGCGUCGACUGUGAAAACCUACAGCUUAACUGUGGGCUUGCAGUCGAUACGGGCAGACUUGAGUUCGGUAGGGGAGAAUGGAAUUCCUGGUGUAGCGGUGAAAUGCGCAGAUAUCAGGAAGAACACCAAUGGCGAAAGCAGCUCUCUGGGACGGUACUGACGCUGAGACGCGAAAGCGUGGGGAGCGAACAGG